UGAGGAAUAUUGGACAAUGGGUGGAAGCCUGAUCCAGCCAUCCCGCGUGAAGGAUGACGGUCCUAUGGAUUGUAAACUUCUUUUGUACAGGGAUAAACCUACCCUCGUGAGGGUAGCUGAAGGUACUAUACGAAUAAGCACCGGCUAACUCCGUGCCAGCAGCCGCGGUAAUACGGAGGGUGCAAGCGUUAUCCGGAUUUAUUGGGUUUAAAGGGUCCGUAGGCGGACUUAUAAGUCAGUGGUGAAAGCCUGUCGCUUAAUGAUAGAACUGCCAUUGAUACUGUAAGUCUUGAGUAUAUUUGAGGUAGCUGGAAUAAGUAGUGUAGCGGUGAAAUGCAUAGAUAUUACUUAGAACACCAAUUGCGAAGGCAGGUUACCAAGAUAUAACUGACGCUGAGGGACGAAAGCGUGGGGAGCGAACA
rnacentral:rRNA from 1 species